AUACUUACCUAUGAUGAAGAUGGCAUGAUCAUGAAUGCAUUUUUCCCAAGGUCAGUCUCAUCCAUUGCAUUAUAGAUGUGUUCAUCCCUGAAGUUUCCUCGAUAUUAGGAACAUUGUAAACUCUGUUAUUGAAUAUUGUGUUUGUGCUCUUCCUUU
ensembl:snRNA LOC120101395 U1 spliceosomal RNA